CGCCGGAGAUGCCCAACUCGGAGAGGGUGGAGAGGAGGAUCUGAUGGUUCACAGUAUCGAAUGCAGCCGAUAGGUCUAGAAGGAUGAGAGCAGAGGAGAGAGAGUUAGCUUUAGCGGUGCGGAGCGCCUCCGUGAAACAGAGAAGAGCAGUCUCAGUUGAAUGACUAGUCUUGAAACCUGACUGAUUUGGAUCAAGAAGGUCAUUCAGAGAGAGAUAGCGGGAGAGCUGGCCAAGGACGGCACGUUCAAGAGUUUUGGAGAGAAAAGAAAGAAGGGAUACUGGUCUGUAGUUGUUGACAUCGGAGGGAUCGAGUGUAGGUUUUUUCAGAAGGGGUGCAACUAUACACUGACUAUACCCUGACUAUACACUGACUAUACCCUGACUAUACCCUGACUAUACACUGACUAUACACUGACUAUACACUGACUAUACACUGACUACACCCUGACUAUACACUGACUAUACCCUGACUAUACACUGACUAUACCCUGACUAUACACUGACUAUACACUGACUAUACACUGACUAUACACUGACUACACCCUGACUACACCUUGACUACACCCUGACUAUACCCUGACUAUACCCUGACUAUACCCUGACUAUACCCUGACUAUACCCUGACUAUACCCUGACUAUACCCUCUGACUAUACACUGACUAUACACUGACUAUACCCUGACUAUACACUGACUAUACCCUGACUAUACCCUGACUAUACCCUGACUAUACCCUGACUAUAACCUGACUAUACCCUGACUAUACACUGACUAUACCGAACACGUUUCUAAUACUGAGUUGCACCCCCAGUCCCCCCUUUUGCCCUCAGAACAGCCUCAAUUUGUCGGGACAUGGACUCAACAAGGUGUCAAUAGCGGGGUCAGGUGGUUCAAGGCCCUCUAAUAGACAUUGGGGUCAGGUGGUUCAAGGCCCUCUAAUAGACAUUGGGGUCAGGUGGUUCAAGGCCCUCUAAUAGACAUUGGGGUCAGGUGGUUCAAGGCCCUCUAAUAGACAUUGGGGUCAGGUGGUUCAAGGCCCUCUAAUAGACAUUGGGGUCAGGUGGUUCAAGGCCCUCUAAUAGACAUUGGGGUCAGGUGGUUCAAGGCCCUCUAAUAGACAUUGGGGUUAGGUGGUUCAAGGCCCUCUAAUAGACAUUGGGGUUAGGUGGUUCAAGGCCCUCUAAUAGACAUUGUGGUCAGGUGGUUCAAGGCCCUCUAAUAGACAUUGGGGUCAGGUGGUUCAAGGCCCUCUAAUAGACAUUGGGGUCAGGUGGUUCAAGGCCCUCUAAUAGACAUUGGGGUCAGGUGGUUCAAGGCCCUCUAAUAGACAUUGCGGUCAGGUGGUUCAAGGCCCUCUAAUAGACAUUGGGGUCAGGUGGUUCAAGGCCCUCUAAUAGACAUUGGGGUCAGGUGGUUCAAGGCCCUCUAAUAGACAUUGGGGUCAGGUGGUUCAAGGCCCUCUAAUAGACAUUGGGGUCAGGUGGUUCAAGGCCCUCUAAUAGACAUUGGGGUCAGGUGGUUCAAGGCCCUCUAAUAGACAUUGGGGUCAGGUGGUUCAGGGCCCUCUAAUAGACAUUGGGGGUGGUUCAAGGCCCUCUAAUAGACAUUGGCGUCAGGUGGUUCAAGGCCCUCUAAUAGACAUUGCGGUCAGGUGGUUCAAGGCCCUCUAAUAGACAUUGGGGUCAGGUGGUUCAAGGCCCUCUAAUAGACAUUAUGGUCAGGUGGUUCAAGGCCCUCUAAUAGACAUUGCGGUCAGGUGGUUCAAGGCCCUCUAAUAGACAUUACGGUCAGGUGGUUCAAGGCCCUCUAAUAGACAUUGGGGUCAGGUGGUUCAAGGCCCUCUAAUAGACAUUGGGGUCAGGUGGUUCAAGGCCCUCUAAUAGACAUUGGGGUCAGGUGGUUCAAGGCCCUCUAAUAGACAUUGGGGUCAGGUGGUUCAAGGUCCUCUAAUAGACAUUGCGGUCAGGUGGUUUAAGGCCCUCUAAUAGACAUUGGGGUCAGGUGGUUCAAAGCCCUCUAAUAGACAUUGGGGUCAGGUGGUUCAAGGCCCUCUAAUAGACAUUGGGGUCAGGUGGUUCAAGGUCCUCUAAUAGACAUUGCGGUUAGGUAUUUCAGGCGAGCUACAGUCCUCUGGCUCCUUAUUGUAGUGGUACAAGGGACCGAGACGUCACUCCCUACAUCGUCAAUGGGGGCACUUUUCCCAGAGCACCUUUCCCAGGGCACCUGCCAGGGCACGUGCCCUCUGUACCGCACAGACAUCGGGUCAUAACUCAUAUGAAAGGUACGGAGCAGAACUACAGUCAGUUUACAGACAUUCACCAACAGUGAGUCAUCCCAGGACCAGAUUGUGUCCCACAUACAGUAUUGUUGUUUACCAGAGGUCAGUCUGUUCACCAGUCCCCCUUUCACUGCUAAAGGAACCAAUUGCAGCUUUCACCUUGACAUUUACAGAGGAAUGUAUAAUGGCCUUCAACUGGAUGAUAUGGGCACGGCAGACUCAGUCAAUUCAUGCAACUCAGCGAGUUCUUUAAGGAUAGUGGGAAUAUACAGAACAGGUAUGUUGUUCUAGGGAAGGUAGGCAGGUACUAGUACUACUAUUACUACUAGGCAGGUAGCCUAGUGUGCUAGCCUUUAUCAGUCAUAAAUUCCGGGCCCUGGUCACUUUCCAGGUGCCCAGGCACUCCCCGCUUCGGUGGUAGCAACAUUCCUCCUAGUGGGGGGGACUUCAACCCACUUGGAGAACGUAUCUAAUACAAACAAUAUUUUUGACCCUUUACUUGGUGGUAAACAGAUGACAUUGAUUUGAAGCUUUCCAAAGGGUUCCCAUGGUAGUGAUCUGGUUCCCAUGGUAGUGAUCUGUAGUGAUCUGGUUCCCAUGGUAGUGAUCUGGUUCCCAUGGUAGUGAUCUGGUUCCCAUGGUAGUGAUCUGGUUCCCAUGGUAGUGAUCUGGAUCCCAUGGUAGUGAUCUGGUUCCCAUGGUAGUGAUCUGGUUCCCAUGGUAGUGAUCUGUAUCCCAUGGUAGUGAUCUGGUUCCCAUGGUAGUGAUCUGGUUCCCAUUCCAGUAACUGGAGUGGUUGUUUUCAUGUUGUGUUUCAGAUCUUUCUAACCAUUUUGUUUUUGCAAAUUAGGCCAAAUUUGGGACAAUACCAUUCUUUCCUACACAUUCCUAACAUCUCUCCUUGGACUCAGGUGUCGUUCCAUGAUACUAUACGUAUGUGUGCAAGAUAGGGAAGUAGUAUGAGUGGCGUACGGCCGUCUGGGGGGCGCCAGACGCCGUCGUCAUCGGGUUUUCAGCCUGAAGACAUCAAACACCACUUUUCAACGGUAUCAGCAUGGUUUUGCAUAUUAACAGCAUCAGUAGAAGUAUGUACAGUCACCAUGGGUGAGUCCCGUGAGGGGAGGA